GAAGGAGGAUGCAAGCGUUAUCCGGAAUCAUUGGGCGUAAAGCGUACGUAGGCGGCUUAUCAAGUCUAGGGUCAAAGACCACAGCUUAACUGUGGAAAGGCCUUGGAAACUAGUGAGCUGGAGUGAGGUAGGGGUUGCGGGAAUUCCCGGUGUAGCGGUGAAAUGCGUAGAUAUCGGGAAGAACACCUGAGGCGAAAGCGCGCGACUGGGCCUUAACUGACGCUGAGGUACGAAAGCUAGGGGAGCGAAUGGG
rnacentral:rRNA from 1 species